AUUGAACGCUGGCGGCAGGCUUAACACAUGCAAGUCGAACGAGUGGCGCGCGGGUGAGUAAUGCUUGGGAAUCUAGCUUAUGGAGGGGGAUAACUACGGGACACUGUCUCUAAUACCGCAUACCCUAGGAUGACCCCAAGUGGGAUUAGGUAGUUGGUGGGGUAAAGGCUCACCAAGCCGACGAUCUCUAGCUGGUCUGAGAGGAUGACCAGCCACACUGGGACUGAGACACGGCCCAGACUCCUACGGGAGGCAGCAGUGGGGAAUAUUGCGCAAUGGGGGCAACCUGACGCAGCCAUGCCGCGUGAAUGAAGAAGGCCUUCGGGUUGUAAAGUUCUUUCGGUAGCGAGGCGUUAACUACAGAAGAAGCACCGGCUAACUCCGUGCCAGCAGCCGCGGUAAUUC
rnacentral:rRNA from 1 species